rnacentral:rRNA from 1 species
CUCGUAGUCUGAAUUGACCAGUAAUGGUCUUGUGUAUAUUUACGUUCACUGUGAACAAAUCAGGACGCUUAGAGUAUGGUUACAGGAAUGACCNAACGCAGUAUGAUAUCUUUGUUUUUUUCGGAAAACAAGCUCAAAGAGAGCCAUCGGGGGUAGAUCUAUCCCAUGACGAGUGGUGGAAUACGGUGACUCAUGGGAGAGAAUCGGAGGCGAAGGCGUCUACCUAGAGGGUUUCUGUCGAUCAAGGGCGAGAGUAGGAGUAUCCAACAGGAUUAGAGACCCUGGUAGUUCCUACUGUAAACGAUGCCGACAGGAGUUUGUCAUUUGCUAAUGGCAGAAUCUUUAGAGAAAUCAUAGUUCUUGGGCUCUGGGGGAACUACGACCGCAAGGCUGAAACUUGAAGGAAUUGACGGAAGGGCACACCAGGGGUGGAGCCUGUGGCUUAAUUUGAAUCAACACGGGGAAACUUACCAGGACCAGAUGUUUUUUAUGACUGACAGGCUUAAGGUCUUUCAGGAUAUGAUUUUUGGUGGUGCAUGGCCGUUGGUGGUGCGUGGGUUGACCU